CCUGGAGGUCAUAAAGACAGAGACAGUAAUAAAUGGGCAUCCAAAGUAAUAAUGCAACCAGAAUCUUCCUGAGAUAAAACAGAGGUUCAGGAGCAGUGACACAGUUACAAAAGCACAGAUAGGAAUUAAACACAGUGAACAUUGAACAGAAAAGCACUGACCUUCAGAAGGCAACUGUAAUUCCGCCUCAAUUGUACUGACAUAGUAUGUCGGAUCUUUCUGCAAAAGAUGAUGUAUCUUUAUUCCUACUACAUCCAUAUCUCUGGAGGAAAAAAUAAAGUUCACCACAGCAAAAUGCUUGCAAAAAAAAAAAGUUCCCAAAGAAAGACUUUCCAAAGCAUCACCUUGAAGAUCUACAAACCAGCUUGCCUGGAUGUAUUGCAUUUUCUUUUCCAAUCCUUAGCAGGCGAGUAGGCAGCAUAGCGCUGUGAUCUCGGAUACGUCACCAGUUUUGCUCAGUGUGGUGAAGCCAGCCAUGCAGAUGUGCUUGUGCACACAUUGCUCAAGCUCGACAUUUGUGUGACUUGUGUUUUAUUUUUUAUCCACUAGUUUUGCUCUCGUUGACAGUCCCAGCAAUGCUUGCAUUGGCAAUCCUGCCGUGAAUUGAUCCCUGCUGACCUGCAGGCUGACUGCUUGCAGAACCUAUGCUGAUACACUUUAAAGUAUCCAGCACUCCCAGCACUGCAAUGCAAUUUAUGCAUCAAUGGUCAUAAUGUGAGCAAAUGGCAGAAAGCAGCCACGCCUCUGUGUUCAUCGUUGCUUUGAACCAGAAGAGGGCAGCAACCAGCAGAGACAGGAGCCUUUCACAGAGGUACUGCUCUUUUUCUACUUUGUCUAUCAACAGAAGUCACUACAGAUGAGGAAACAGCACCCCUGAUUGUCUACACAGGGAAGAAAUAACUGUUACGUUCUACACCGCUGGUGCUGGCUGGCUUUAUUCCAUAUGCCUACAGACUGCCGACAUGGAAAGCACCUGCUACUAUAGCACAAAACAAAAUUUCCAGCUGGACUGUGCCUGCUCCCGCUCCAAAACCCCAGUGCAACCUGAACACUCUCCUGCCCAGGCAGCCAAACCAUGACAGAAAGCCCCAGGGGCUUUUCACUCCUAGCAAUGCUGAAGUAUGUUGUGAGUCUCUAUGUAGCUUCCCUGUUACUGCUUUUAAUUCCAGCUCGGAGCACAUAAGGGAUUGGUGACUGCAGCUGCUGGCCAAGUAGUAGCAAACAUGAAUGUCUUCUGUGCACUCACCUUUAAGGUCCUGCAGUUUUAAUGGCGGUAGGACAGAUUGUGAAAGAAGUUUUAAAGUGGUUCUCAGCCUUAUUCUACUUAAAGACAUAAAUAGGUCAAAUAACACUUAUUUUGGCAGCAGCACUAUCUUCUGUUUGGACAGUUAUUGACUUUGCUCAGGAUAAAUGCCUGUACCUACUUCACGUAUUGUGUGUUGGUUAUGAAACUUCCCUUUGUCAAGUUCUUUGCCAAAGGCACCUGGCAGCAGUGAGUACAGAGCUGCUCACCUCCCUACAGCCAAACCACAGCCCCUGGCCCGGCUCAGCCUUCACCCUGCAAAUCAGAAGUGCCACUCCUGGUUCAAAGUCAGCACUGCAGCAGCUGGAGAGGCCAAACACAUCAGAAAUGGCAGGAUAAUGAUUUCUUAAUAACGUGCAUUUCAAAGGAAGCUACGCCGUGCUCUGCUGCUCUCUUGAGACUUAUCUUGGGUGGAUUGCAUAAUGCUGUGCCAAUAACCAUCUUUUUCAGGACAAGAGAGGUCAAAAGGUUCACAUCUCUCUCCUUAGCUCUGCUGUGAGCUGGUACUUUUACGGGUACUUGAAUCAAUGGAUUUUUUCUAAGGAUCUUCACAACACAGAGAAUGCUACCCUUGUUGCAGAAAGCAUACAUUUAAACCAAACACUCAUGGUCUGAACUGAUCCUUUGUUCUAAAACAGCAUUUUCCUUUGCAGCUUUUAAAUGUCUUUCAGUCAUCAACAAAAAUCAAGACAAUUAUUGAUUGAAAUCUUUCCCAAGCAAUUAAUGACCAAGUAUUCAGCUGUAAUAAAGUGUGCUGUUGCCUCUUGUAGCAUGACUGACCCCUGGCAGUUUUCUACUGCGGUUAUACUAUUAGCCAUCCUCAUGGUAGGUUAUGCUGAAGACCUGUCUGCAUCUGAUUUGGUUUGAGCUGGAAAUGUGGUAUCAAUACAAAUCACAUCAAAACGAACACUAGUUUUCAUACUGGGAAAGCACAGGCCUAUCUCUUGCUCAGGUUUCUGUGUAUAUUUGUAAGUUUCCCUGGACUGAUGCAUUUUAAGGGCACUUAUCUACAAUUUUGUUGUUGAAGUUCAGUUGUUUGGAAUCUUCUAAUCAGAAAUCAGAAGAAAUUCUGGCUCUCUGGACAGUCUGUGGCUUCUGGGUACAUACAACUUCAUAGCGUGUCCUUUGGAUUUAACAACCAAAUCCAACUUUAGCCUGGGCAGCAUUUAUGGGAAGCAAAUUACUAAUUCCACAUGCAUCCAGGCUGUCUCAGCGACAACAUUUCAUAAGGACAACUUGACAGUAUGACUCAGAGCUUCCAGCACACACACCUUGCUUCUGCACAGUACCUCCAACCCCACAUCCAAUUCCCCAUCCCACUCCAAUGCAAACAGCAGACCUGGCCUUACCCCCAGUUACAUUUUAUCACUGUAAAUAUGCGUUGCAGAUUUUGCUUAGGUCUAAGCUAUAUUUGUGCUGCUAGUUUGGCAGUGCCAAAGGAUCUAAGGGCACUAUACUUGUCCUAUAUUACACGUAUGAAACCUUCAAAACUCAGAGUUCCAAUAGACAAGAUGGGAUGAAACACUGAAAGCAGCCCUGCUCUGAGCUGGGAAUGGGCCAGGUGGCCUCAGGUCUCUCCCGGACUGAAUUAAUCAUGGUUCUAUAAAUCCAGCCCCUUGGGAAGGAUAGGACGACUGAUGCUGAGAUGGAUGAAAUGCCCUUUUCCAUAGCACACUGCAUGCCACUGUUAUGGCUGGAAGUGGAUUGGAGGCAGCCUGAGUUCCCGUUCCUCAGACCUAAACCCUCGUUCCCACUAAAUACAACAAUUACCUUUACAAAGACAAAGCUUAUAAACCCUCCAGUGAAAGUGAUGUUCAGCACAGACUCCACUAUCCCACAGCUUCCAGAUAUCUGGGUGGCGUUGGGGUUGACAGUCAGGUACUCCAUCUGUUUCUGUGGAGAAAUGAGGACAUUGUGGGGCUAUUUAUCAAGAGGAGGGAAAAAACUUCAUAUGAAACAUGCAGAUUUAUAUGUUUAGGGUUUUAAUUAUGUGGUUGGACUACCAGACCAGUGCCCCAUGGCCAUAUUAAUGGAGGUUACAACAUUGUUAUUGGGAAAGCUGUAAUCACAAUUUCAGGGUUUUUUUACAUCUUUUAAUGAAUCAUUCACCAUGGAUCAACGCCAAGAGAGGGAAGCAUCUUCCCAGAACCCCUGUGCAGGCCGCCUUGAUGGUCCCAAAACCUCCAUUUGUCAGCAUCGAGACAACUCAUCUCUGAAUCCAAACAAGUCAGUGAGCUGACAAUUUAUUUCUCUCAUUGAAACUUGCUAUUUUAAACCUUUCACUGAUGUCACUUCAGAUUUUAACUAAUCUCCCAAAAUGGGAAAGAGAAAUAUCACUGGAGCCCAAUCUGCCCUCCCAAUUAUUGCUACUAUGGACAUACUGCUGAAAUGAUAAAGUACCUGUAUGUCCCUCUGACAUCAUUAUAUGAACCAAAGUACAGCAGUUCAGAUGCUGUGGCCCAAAAAAAAAGGCUUCAGACUAGCAACAAGCCAGUUGUUUUUAUCACGCAACUUAAUUUCUGCAAAUUUCUUUUAAAGGAACAGAAUAUAGCACAGCAAAUGAAGAAGUAGAAGCUUAGUAUCAUAGUGCUUUCACCUCACCUUCUGCUUGCUUAGAGCCAUCAGUUGCAAACCCAUCACUGCUUUGAUGCAGGUCUUGUUGCUGCUGGAAAUGAUGUAUGUGCCAGUGGGGAUGGGAGAAGGCUGUGGUGCUAGAGUGGGUCUCACCAUCGUUGUAGUAGAUGGGAUGGUUGUAUGAGUCCCAUGAGUAUGAGUGGUGGUUGUGUUGGUUAUGGCUGUGGGUGUUGGGCUUCCAGAAGUUGUGUGAUUAGUUGAGCUUGUGGUGGGAUUUGCAGUACUGUUGGUAGUGGCUGUAGUAUUUGAGGCACUUGUUGUUUGUGUAUUUGAUGUUGUAUUCUCUGUGGUUCCGUUUGUAACUGUGUCCACAUGUGUUGUGAUUUGGCUGCCUGGGGACGCAGUUGUGUUCUUCUCAGCUGAUGUAACUGUUUCCAUUGCCUGUGUUGUAGCCUGACCAGCUCCACCUCCGUUUGCCCCAGACGUGGUUGCUGCUGUGGAAGAUGCCUGGCCAUUCGCUUUGCUGGUAUUUGCUCGUGCCUGGGCUGCCGUAUGAGAAGCUGGUGCUGUUGUUACCCAGUGUUGGUCAGUUGUCUGCAGAGUAGUUACAUGGCUUACAGAGCCUGUGCUGUUAUGUUGAACUGUGGUGCUUUGAUGGGGUGGGGAAUGAUAAACAGAAAGUGGCAGAGCAGAAGUGAUGGUAUGGUGGAAGGACGUGGUUUGUGGAGAUAACUUGACACCCACUUCAGCACAGCAGGAAGAAAAUGCUGCAAAGAAAUGAAAAGUCAGUAGUCUAAAACCACUGCAUUUAACAUUCUUGUUGAUACUUGCAACAUAACUGCUCCCAUUUUGUUAUCAUGACUUUAUUUUUCCUUUGGCUUAAUGUCAUGAUAGCAGAGGACAAGCAGACAUAAUUUCACACUGCUUCCCCAGCCUUCACACCCCUGAAUAAAUCCACUGCAGAGGCAGCACAUUGGCUCCUUACAUCCCACAUGCUGCUCUGACUGCUGAAGAAGACAGCGGAUGGAGUAGAGGUGUGAGCAGAUCUUGCACAAUCCCUACACAGUACAUGAAUUCCCUUGCAGACAACAGUACAGAAAGAUUUGCUGGGAGUAAAUUAUCAAGGUCUAAGGGACAACUUGUUCCAUUAUGGGUCACUGUUAAAAUGAAAUCCAGGUAUAACAAGCAAAGAGAUGGUUGGCUACUGACAAACAAAGCAUAGGGAAAGGGAACGUUUUCUGUAUGUGAAAGAAUUGAGGAAACAUAGUGGUAUUAUGAUGAUUCAGAAUAGUCUGAAGACAGAAAUUCUGGGAAUUUGUUUGUGGUGCUGAUGUAGAUAUGGCAGCCUGAGCCUUCAAGUUCUUCCUCAUGGGAGAUACCCAGGGAAAGAUGAGCCCUCUUAGUAAUGUUUUUUCGGCAGUGAGAAACAAAUUUGAGGGUACAGCUUUCAGGGGUUGUUUGAACUGCAUCUAAAAAUAGUCACAGCAAGAAAAUCAAACAGACAUUUCAUAACCUUUACAGAAAUGUAUUCUUUGCAAAACAGAAAUGAUCUGGCUCCUAUACGUGAGUAACAAAGGGAAGACAAGGUGGAUAAUGUACAUUGUGAAAAGAGAUAAAGUUCACAACUGUUCAACUUGGAUCUUUGAUUGUGGAUAUGCAACAAGGCACUAUAAAGACAAGAUCAAGCUAAAAGCCACAAGUCAUGGACAUAAAUGUGUUCUUUGAUGUGCAUGAGGCUUUAGAUGUAGUUAAACGCUUUGCUGCCUAAAUUAGCUGGAGGUCAGAGAUGAAUUCUCCAGACUGGAGACAGACAGAAUCCAAAAGUCUAAUUUUCCCUUAUAAAUGGCCAUGAUAGAGGAGAAAUGGAGGGGUACGCUUCAUAAACUUGCCUGGUGUUUCACCUCCCUACUGAACUGAAUAUACUUGACUCCAAAUGUAGCUGAGACAGCAGGUUCAGAGAAAUACAAGUUUGUGCAACUGAAAAGUCACAAAAAUGACAGGACAGGUCCCACUGAUAUUACAUUUUAUCAGAAGGAACUAAAAGUGCUAUAAUUAAUAUCAUAUUUUAGUUCAUUUUCUCUCUAUCUCUUGCCUUUACCACACCUGCUGCUAAAGCUGAGAAGCAGCUAACUUCUCUGAUUGCUCAUCUCAAUCAGACCAGUGGAAAACCAGAGCAGUUGCUGUGUACCAGCUACCAGUAAUUUAACCUGAGUAACACAAUAGAAACAGAAAAGAGGAAGCUGCAGUUUUCACUCUUUUUUUAACCACGUAUGUUUGUGAAACAACUCAUACUUGCAUUUACGUAAGCCUUAAAUAGUCAGUACUUCUCAGUUUUUACUUAACGGAUUGGUUUUGAUUACUGACAGUGUAACACAAAAAUGUAUGGGCAUGGAAAGAAACAUCAUUUCCUUAACACUUGGAUAUUGUCCAUAGCUUUUAAAUGGAACUUCAUUUUCCCCAUAAGGUCAUUUCAUCAAAAAAGUAUUCAGCCCAAUGGGUUUGCUGAGGGGUAUAAUCAGAAACACUUCUGGGUGGGCCUGUGGCUCGUGCUCUCCAGGUGACUUGCCAGUAUCCGCCAGCUUAGCUCUCCCCAGCAUUUCGGGCCUUCUGUUGGGCCAUGCACAUGCUCCCAACAUGUUGGUUUGGUCACCUCAAAAUGGCCAAUGAUCUUAGAAAGCCGCCCCGGGGAUGAGUAAAGAUUGCUCUCUGCCAACCCAAUGGUCUUGGCCAUCAAAAGUGGCCACAAGGCAACAAUGCAUUGCAGCUCUGCAUCCCCCUGUUAGCUUCCAUUUCUUUUUUCUCUGAGAAAUUUGCCAUGUCUAGUCUGGGUCUGGAGCCCACACUGCAUUGUGCCAGAGGAAGUUUCAGGUUUUCCCUCCAUCAACUAGCAUCCAAAGGAGGACUACGAGGAUGAUGAAGGGUCUAGAGGGAAAGUUAUAUGAGGUCACUUGUUUUUUUCAGCCCAGAGAAGGGGGGGGCUGAGGGGAGGCCUCAUAGGAUCCUACAGCUUCUCAUAGAGGAGCAGUGCUGGGCUCUGCUGACAACCAACACUGGCAGAGGCACACAGUUAAUCUGUUCAAAGGAACUAAGGUGGAAGUGGCUUGAUCUGUCUGCAAACUAUCUCAUCCUGCCAGCCCAUAACGCAGUGGGUGGAACAACCUCUUGCUGGGGAUUUUUGACCCUUCUCGCCUAACCACACACCCAGUUUGUUCUGCUUUAUGCUGCCCAGAAGAAAUGCUUGUGUUUGGGUGACAGAUUUUCUGCUAGUUACAGACACAAAAACCUGGCCCGGCUCCUACAGAAAAGGCUCUUGUCGGUUCUGGCUGCUUUGAUUUGAGCUCUUGAGGAACUGGAAAAGCACCAAGGUUUUCUGAGAGGCUUUGGUUCUCUCUAAUGUA